GUUCCCGGCGCCCCGCCUUCCCUGAAGCCCAUAAAAGCACACGUCCCUGCCUAGGCAGCAACUGGACACCUGCAUCUUCCGACAAGACUGGAAGCAGGUGAGGCACACAGGGGAAGGGCCAAAGCCGCGUGGGGGAGGGGUGGUCUGAGGCACCAGGAUCCCCGUGGCUGGGGCUGGUUUACAGGUCAGCUCAUGGACAUUUUCCGAGAAAGUGACAAAGACUGAGAAGUUUGACGGUCCGGAAAACAGACCAACCACGCUGACUACCUAGGAGCACCGAGACUAUGGACAGCGCCCCUCGGGGUCCAGGAAGGGAACCGCGAUCUGCUUCAGCGCCAGGGCUCCGGACAGCUCCUGAGGGUUCUCGGAGCCGACUUCAUUUCAGAACCAGAACAAUGGACAGCUUCCCUGGUACCGGGAAGUCCUUGCACCCUGAUGGGGGAACAGAAGGUGGUCUGAAGUGUCUGACGUUUCUGGAGACUGCCCCUCACUUAAUGGAUUUUUCAACGAAUUAUUUUCCAGAUAAGCAGGGUGCCCAAUGGCUCACUCUGCCUUCUCAUCCAAGUCUCAUCUCAUCAAGGGAAACGUUCUUUGCUGCCUCACCAUCCCCCAUGUCAAGUCUACCUUACACAUUCGCACAGAUCUUCUCCCCAGCACUUAGUCUAGUUUUGUUGUUGUUGUUGUUGUUGUUGUUGUUGUUGUUAUCUAUUUACCGGGCUGUCU